GCAGGGUUAACCCUAGAUGGACCUCACACCCAGACCACUUAAUUGAGCUGAAGUGCUCUGGGUGCCUAUAGUGGUCCUUUAACCUAUACAAGGAGCAUACGUUGCUAUUGUGCUUUAGUUGCCCCUUUUCAGGGAUCACUUUUUCUACCUCAAUGAUGGACAAGGAAGUGUUACUUCUAGAGAGAAUAAUGUUUGAUAAGAAGAGCCAUGUUAAAAGAUGAUGAUGAG